AAGUCCCUACUGUGUUCGUGGUCAAGCUGAAGCGUUAUGAACCCACGUCGUUAUCUGGGGAGCCGGACUCUGAUUGGUGGCGUGCCGCCGUUUACUCGGCAGCCCAGGCCAACCAGGAGGCGCCCACCUGCUGGAGCAGGGUUCAGAUAACAUUCAGCACAACGGCACGGUGGGGCUUUU
rnacentral:other from 1 species